rnacentral:rRNA from 1 species
UACGUAGGGUGCAAGCGUUAUCCGGAAUUAUUGGCGUAAGAAGCUCGUAGGCGGUUUGUCGCGUCUGCUGUGAAAACUGGAGGCUCAACCUCCAGCCUGCAGUGGGUACGGGCAGACUAGAGUGCGGUAGGGGAGAUUGGAAUUCCUGGUGUAGCGGUGGAAUGCGCAGAUAUCAGGAGGAACACCGAUGGCGAAGGCAGAUCUCUGGGCCGUAACUGACGCUGAGGCGCGAAGGCGUGGGGAGCGAACGGG